UACGGGGGGAGCAAGCGUUGUUCGGAUUUACUGGGCGUAAAGGGCGCGUAGGCGGCCACCGCAAGUCAGUUGUGAAGUCUCUGGGCUUAACCCAGAAAGGUCAACUGAUACUGCGGGGCUAGAGUGCAGAAGGGGCAACUGGAAUUCUCGGUGUAGCGGUGAAAUGCGUAGAUAUCGAGAGGAACACCUGCGGCGAAGGCGGGUUGCUGGGCUGACACUGACGCUGAUGCGCGAAAGCUAGGGGAGCGAACGGG
rnacentral:rRNA from 1 species